GGGCGGAUGUAGCCAAGUGGAUCAAGGCAGUGGAUUGU
rnacentral:tRNA from 2 species